rnacentral:lncRNA from 1 species
GACAGGAUCCAGAGACACUCUCAGUCUUGGAAAUCCUACCAACAAGGAUUCAGGCCUCCCUGUUUCCUGAAACACAACAAUAUUAAAGUUAGGCCAAUUAAUAACCCUACAAUGGUCUCUAAGUGUCAAGCGAAAGGGAAAGUCACACAUCUCUUAGUUUAACUCAAAACUAAAAAUGAUUAAACUUAGUGAGGGAGGCACGUAGAAAGCUGAGACAGGCCAAAAGCUAGACCUCUUCUGACAAACAGCCAAUUGGGAAAGCAAAGGAAAAGCUCUUGAAGAAAAAUUAAAAGUAAAAUUAGAAGUGCUACUCAGUGAAAUCACAAGUGAUAAGAAAGCAAAGUAGUCUUAUUGCUGAUAAUGAAGAAAGUUUGAGUGAUCUGGAUAGAAGAUCAAACCAGACACAACAUUCCUUUAAGCCAAGCCUAAUCCAGAGCAAGAUCCUAGCUUUCUUCAAUUUUAUGAAGGCUGAGAGAGGUUAGGAAGCUGCGCAAGAUGCACAACUAGCAGAGGUUGCUUCGUGACGUUUAAGGAAAGAAGCCAUCUCUAUAACAUAAAAGUGCAAGGUGAAGCAGCAAGUGCUGAUGUAGAAGCUGUAGCAAGUUAUCCAGAAGAUCUGGCUAAGAUCAUUGAUGAAGGUAGCUACACUCAACAACAGAUUUUCAAUAUAGAUAAAACAGCCUCCUAUUGGAAGAAGAUGCUACUUAGGACUUUCAUAGCUAGAAAGAAGUCAAAGCCUGUCUUCGGAGCUUUGAAGGACAGCCUGGCUGACUCUCUUGUUAGGGACUAAUGCAGCUGGGGAUUUUAAGUUGAAGCCAAUGGUCAUUGACCAUUCAAAAAACUCUAAGGCCCUUAAGAAUUAUGCUCAGCCUAUUCUGCCUGUGCUCUACAAAUGGAACAACAAAGCCUGGACGAUUGCAUAUCUGUUUACAGCAUGGUUUACUGAAUAUUUUAAGUCUACUGGUGAAACCUAUUGCUCCUGAAAAAAAAGAUUCCUUUCAAAAUAUUAGUGCUCAUUGGCAAUGUACCUAAUCACCUAAGAGCUCUAAGGCAGAUGUACAAAGAGAUGAAUGUUGUUUUCAUGCCUGCUAACACAACAUCUAUUGUGCAACGAGGAGAUCAAGGAGUAAUUUUGAGUUUCAAGUCUUAUUAUUUCAGAAACACAUUUCUUAAGGCUAGAGCCAUCAUUGACAGUGAUUCAUUUGAUGGGUCUAGGCAAAGUAAAUCAAAAGCCUCUGGAAAGAGUUCAGUAUUCUAGAUGCCAUUAAGAACACUCAUGAUUCAAGGGAGGUUAAAAUAGCAAGAUUAACAGGAGUUUGGAAGAAGUUGAUUCCAACCCUCGCUGAUGACUUUGAGGGGUUUAACACUUCAUGGAGGAAGUCACUGAUGAUAUUGCAGAAGUAGCAAGAGAACUAGAAUUAGAAGUGGAACUUGAUGAUGUGACGGAAUUGCUGCAAUCUUAUGAUAAAACUUGAAUGGAUGAGGAGUUGCUUCUUAUAGAUGAGUUUUAUUAUGAUAUUUACUUUAUUGCAGUGGUCUGAAAUCAAACUCCCAAUAUCUUUGAGGUAUACUUAUAUAUAUGACAAGGCAGAAUGAGGUAGGCACUGUUACCUUCUGCUUUGUAUGAGAGUGAAAGCAUAGCCUCUUGAAGAUAGGCAAACUUGGGUUUGAAUUUUGACUGCUACUUACUGAGUAACAAUAAAUUAUCUCAUUGCUCAUUGCUGAACCUCAGUUCCCUAGUCUGUAAAGUAGCUACAUAAACUCAUAUUUUAUAGUUCUUUUGAAAAUUAGAUUGAAUAAGAGAAUAAAGUGUUUAAUGGGAGGCCUGGCAAACAUAGUGCAAUCAGUAAUGGUAGCUAUCAGUAUUAUUGUUACUACUUUUAUUACUAUCAAAGCACAGCCAGUAAAAACUAAAAAGACACAUCUUCAUUUUAAAGACUUAUUGUAUCUUUAAAAUAGAAUACUAUUUUAGACUCCCAGGUAAUUCAUGACCAAACGUUAUAACUAUAUCGCAUAAGCAGACCUGGAGACCAAUCUUAUUUACUACUACAUCUGGUCCUUUUGUCAUAAUGUGGUGGGGAGAAGGAUUCCCUACUUUAAUUUAAAUCAUUAAACCAUAUCUUUGUUUUUUACCUCCACCUUUACUUCAUAUAUAUAUUGCAGGAGGCACUACACUGAUGCAUUUAAACAGUGUAGAGUACUAGAAGAUAUCCUGACUUCUGGUCAGAAGGUCCAGCUUAACCGUGGCAUUGACCCAUGGUGUGACCAUGGGCAAGUCACACCUAUUUGGACAUCUAUUUAGUUAAAGAGGUGAACUACCUGAUCUCUAAGCAUCCUCAUAAUUUUCCUUAUAAUGACCAAAAUCACAAUUACAAGGAGAAGCCUG